GCCUGCUUAGCUCAGUGGUAGAGCGCUGCACUUGUAAGAUCAGCUUACGUGAUGAAUGCAGCGGUCAGUCGUUCAAUCCGGCUAGCAGGCA